rnacentral:rRNA from 1 species
AGCCCCUAGCAACAUACAAGUAUUAGGGGUAAUGCCUGCCCAGUGACACUGUUUUAACGGCCGCGGUAUCCUAACCGUGCAAAGGUAGCGUAAUCACUUGUCUUCCAAAUAAAGACUAGAAUGAAUGGCCAAACGAGGUUCUACCUGUCUCUUACAGAUAAUCAGUGAAAUUGAUCUCCCCGUGCAAAAGCGGGGAUAACCAUAUAAGACGAGAAGACCCUGUGGAACUUUAAACACAAAUCAACUACCAUAAUAUACCCAACUAAGGAUUUAUAAUCAACCAGUGCAUGAUCUACGUUUUCGGUUGGGGCGACCUCGGAGCAAAACAAAACCUCCGAAAAAAGAACAUACUUCUUUUAAACCUAGACUUACAAUUCAAAGUGCUAACAGUAAAAAGAUCCAAUAUAUUUGAUCAACGAACCAAGCUACCCCAGGGAUAACAGCGCAAUCCCAUCCUAGAGCCCUUAUCAACGAUGGGGUUUACGACCUCGAUGUUGGAUCAGGACAUCCUGAUGGUGAAACCGCUAUCAAGGGUUCGUUUGUUCAACGAUUAAUAGUCCU